rnacentral:ncRNA from 1 species
GGUGAUUGACCUAGUGCCAGCGGCGGAGAGAACAAGCGGAUCGUAAAGACGCCGUAAAUCCGUCCCUGGAGGCUCGGGCCGCGCCAUCCUUGGCGCGGACGCUUU